AUUGAACGCUGGCGGCAGGCCUAACACAUGCAAGUCGAGCGGAUGAAGGGAGCUUGCUCCUGGAUUCAGCGGCGGACGGGUGAGUAAUGCCUAGGAAUCUGCCUGGUAGUGGGGGAUAACGUCCGGAAACGGGCGCUAACACCGCAUACGUCCUGAGGGAGAAAGUGGGGGAUCUUCGGACCUCACGCUAUCAGAUGAGCCUAGGUCGGAUUAGCUAGUUGGUGGGGUAAAGGCCUACCAAGGCGACGAUCCGUAACUGGUCUGAGAGGAUGAUCAGUCACACUGGAACUGAGACACGGUCCAGACUCCUACGGGAGGCAGCAGUGGGGAAUAUUGGACAAUGGGCGAAAGCCUGAUCCAGCCAUGCCGCGUGUGUGAAGAAGGUCUUCGGAUUGUAAAGCACUUUAAGUUGGGAGGAAGGGCAGUAAGUUAAUACCUUGCUGCUUUGACGUUACCAACAGAAUAAGCACCGGCUAACUUCGUG
rnacentral:rRNA from 1 species